GUGGGGAAUAUUAGGCAAUGGGCGAAAGCCUGACCUAGCAACGCCGCGUGAAGGAAGAAGGCCUUCGGGUUGUAAACUUCUUUUAUGAGGGACGAAGGACGUGACGGUACCUCAUGAAUAAGCCACGGCUAACUACGUGCCAGCAGCCGCGGUAAUACGUAGGUGGCGAGCGUUGUCCGGAUUUACUGGGUGUAAAGGGCGCGUAGGCGGACUGGCAAGUCAGAUGUGAAAUACAGGGGCUCAGACCCUGAACUGCAUUUGAAACUGUUGGUCUUGAGUAUCGGAGAGGCAAGCGGAAUUCCUAGUGUAGCGGUGAAAUGCGUAGAUAUUAGGAGGAACACCAGUGGCGAAGGCGGCUUGCUGGACGACAACUGACGCUGAGGCGCGAAAGCGUGGGGAGCAAACAGGAUUAGAAACCCCAGUAGUCC
rnacentral:rRNA from 1 species